GACAUAUAAGAGAGGGACCGCUGACUCAUUUUCGCGCCAAAUUAUCUUCAUGUUUUCGCAGCGCCCCCACCGGGAGGCAUAGAAAGACUUCCUGUCAUAACAGCUGCUGUGUUGUCUUCGCAGCCUUUGGGGUAUGAAAUCAGUUUCCUCAGCAACAGAUACAGCUUGCCAGCAGUGGAAAUGCAGAAUGCUUAUUUUAAUGUGGGACUUUAUUCCUACCACCAUAAAUCUAUUAAAUAUUAUGGUACCUCUACUGAUUGAUUCUACAAGAUUCUAAAGUUUCCUGUUGUCUUUCAAAAGACCUUGACCUGCUUUAUAAUGGUGUUUAA